AACGAACGCUGGCGGCAGGCUUAACACAUGCAAGUCGAACGCACCGCAAGGGGAGUGGCAGACGGGUGAGUAACGCGUGGGAACCUUCCCUAUAGUACGGAAUAUACCAGGGAAACUUGGAGCAAUCCCGUAUACGCCCUUCGGGGGAAAGAUUUAUCGCUAUAGGAUGGGCCCGCGUAGGAUUAGCUAGUUGGUGAGGUAAUGGCUCACCAAGGCGACGAUCCUUAGCUGGUUUUAGAGAAUGACCAGCCAGACUGGGACUGCGACGCGGCCCAGACUCCUGCGGGAGGCAGCAGUGGGGGAUGUUGGACAAUGGGCGCAAGCCUGAACCAGCCAUGCCGCGUGAGGGAUGAAGGCCUUAGGUUUGUAAAGCUCUUUUAGCAGGGAAGAUAAGGACUGUACCUGCAGAAUACGCUCCGGCUAACUUCGUGCCAGCCGCCGCAGUAA
rnacentral:rRNA from 1 species